AUGAACGCUGGCGGCGUGCCUAACACAUGCAAGUCGAGCGGCAGCGAGGGGUGCUUGCACCCUGUCGGCGAGCGGCGGACGGCUGAGUAACGCGUGGGAACGUGCCCCAAAGUGAGGAAUAACUGCCCGAAAGGGUAGCUAAUACCGCAUAUUAUCUUCGGAUCAAAGGAUUUAUCCGCUUUGGGAGCGGCUCGCGUCGGAUUAGGUAGUUGGUGAGGUAAUGGCUCACCAAGCCGACGAUCCGUAGCUGGUCUGAGAGGAUGACCAGCCAGACUGGAACUGAGACACGGUCCAGACUCCUACGGGAGGCAGCAGUGAGGAAUCUUCCACAAUGGGCGAAAGCCUGAUGGAGCAACGCCGCGUGCAGGACGAAGGCCUUCGGGUUGUAAACUGCUUUUAUAAGUGAGGAAUAUGACGGUAACUUAUGAAUAAGGAGCGGCUAACUACGU
rnacentral:rRNA from 1 species